rnacentral:misc_RNA from 1 species
AUCCCCACCUAAAAAUAUUAGAAAACAAAGUACAAAAGAAGCUAAAUAAAUAAUGAUAAGAACAUUACUCAGAAAGUAAUUUGUACUUUCAAAGGAAAUUGGCAACCAAUAACAACCAAGAUCAGAGGGAUCCUAAAAACCUCCAUCAGUUGAUUUCUUUAUGAAAACUAACCACUAUACAAUUUGAACUCCUAAGGCUGUUAUACCCAUGCCAAUUGCACGACCUCAACUCCCAUGUGAAUUGAAACAAUAGCAGCUUUUCUUUCUGAUAGAUGCUUAAGAAAAACAAUACCCAUGCCCCAUCCAUAUA